AGGGAAGGCGGGGGGCAGGCCUAACACAUGCAAGUCGAGCGGAUGAAGGGAGCUUGCUCCUGGAUUCAGCGGCGGACGGGUGAGUAAUGCCUAGGAAUCUGCCUGGUAGUGGGGGAUAACGUCCGGAAACGGGCGCUAAUACCGCAUACGUCCUGAGGGAGAAAGUGGGGGAUCUUCGGACCUCACGCUAUCAGAUGAGCCUAGGUCGGAUUAGCUAGUUGGUGGGGUAAAGGCCUACCAAGGCGACGAUCCGUAACUGGUCUGAGAGGAUGAUCAGUCACGCUGGAACUGAGACACGGUCCAGACUCCUACGGGAGGCAGCAGUGGGGAAUAUUGGACAAUGGGCGAAAGCCUGAUCCAGCCAUGCCGCGUGUGUGAAGAAGGUCUUCGGAUUGUAAAGCACUUUAAGUUGGGAGGAAGGGCAGUAAGUUAAUACCUUGCUGUUUUGACGUUACCAACAGAAUAAGCACCGGCUAACUUCGUG
rnacentral:rRNA from 1 species